rnacentral:tmRNA from 1 species
GGGGGCGCAAUGGUUUCGACGGGGAUUCGGAACUGUGGUAAGCGAGCAGCGGUGGGGCACCGCUUAAAAAGCUCCACUUAUAAAUCAAACAACAACAAUUCCUACGCAUACGCUGCCUAAUUAGGCGGCCGUCCGACCGGUGAGUACCGCGGCAUCGAUUCGGGCGUGAUGAAGCGGUGAACGUGAGCAGGGAAUCGGCUCGGUCCCUGCCAUGCAUCAGAGUCUACCGCAGCGCGCAGCCUGUCAUUGGGCGUCGCGUGAGGGGAAUCCUAAAACAAUGACUGCGCUCGGAGAAAGCUGCACGGAUGGAUUUUCGGACAGGGGUUCGAUCCCCCUCGCCUCCACCA